GGUGGCUCAGUGGUAGAGCGCCUGCUUUGCAAUGUAUGGGGCCCUGGGUUCGAUUCCCCAGCACCA
rnacentral:tRNA from 1 species